rnacentral:lncRNA from 1 species
GCAGAAACUUGGUUCAAACGAACCCUUUGCCUCCCAAAACCUCCAAUCAUGCAUAAUCUUGCUCUACAACAUGCAUACUUCACAUACAUUACACCUAGGGGUCUCAAACUAUCAUAUACCCCAACUACAACACUUCAAACACACAAAAAUCAACAUACAUUGCUCAAAUCAUCAAUAUAACCCAUAAACUCAACAUAUAACCUAACAUGCAUUUCUACCCAUAGAUCUUGCAUAAAACUUAUUUAACACACAUAAGGAGCUUAAGAUCGGCUCUUACCUCUUGAAGAUCGAGAGGGAGACGACCUAAACUUGGAGAUCCAAGAACAUGAGCUCCUGAGUUCCCAAAGCUCCAAAACUUGUUUUAAA